UCCUCGACUGCUAUCUUGUGCAGCACCAGCACGCCGUCUAAGUGGACAAAGAGCUGUUUCAUACAACACUGACGCAGAGCUAUUUCGGAGCUAGAUCGGUUAAAGUGCGUGAGGGCGACUGGCUUCCAGAGGACCAAAUGCUUUGCACCAUUCGUUUGCUGGUGUUGCUGAUCCAGCCAGUCUCCAGGUACUUAGUUUUGCGCGCUGCUUCUCGCCGUGGCCUUUGAACAGGUGAAGAGACGAAGAAAAUUCCACGCUCGGCUCUCUCAGAGAACGAACGAAACUCUUGCCUGCCAACGAGAGAAGAUUGGAAGCUUCUUUCCAGCGGCCAUGCACGCAGUGUGGUGCAUCAACCAGCGUAGAAACUUUGACAAAGGAGGAUAUGAGGGACACGUGUCGGCACCACGUGUCCCAUGGAAUUGUGCGUGCCGGCCCCCGUCAAAUGAUUGGCGGCCACGUGGGCCCCACAAACGCCGUUGAUUCUCCGUACACAGCUUCUCUCCCCUUCGGAGUUUCUAGAGACGUGUAGUGAAAGAAACAUUUUUGGUUACUUGAUCUCGAUCCCUGACUGCGAUAUGUGUUGCGUAAUAAUUCCACCGGCUGGACUGUAAGCAUCCAUCGGGCGCAGGCGGCUGUCGACUUCAUUUAAGAUGUCGAGCGGUGCGUUGUUGCUUUCGCUCUACCUGGACCACUGCGGGGUAUCAAAGUUUGUUACUGUCUUCCUUUGCUCUCGGGGCCGAGCGAGUCCCGUACAGGUCGAUUUUGCUGACCCCUUUGUUUCCGUUCGGAUUAGACACCUGUGCCGUUUGGACGUGGGAUGUGUUUCAGUGGAAAACUGCGAACUCAGAAACCUUGUUUGUAUGCGGGUUUGCGAGACUUCGAAGUCACAUUUCCAUCGCCCCACAUGAAAGGUGUCCGUCUUUGAAGAUCUUUGCUACGUUCAUGUUGUGCUCGCCAAGCAAUGAUCUUUACUCAUAGAGACGAAAUCUCACUUGUGUUAUGUUGUAGCUCAUGCUGAUGCGAACCAGUCGACAUAUGCGAGGACGAGUUCCCUACAUGAUUCAGAGGGGACCCUCGCCGGGUGGUAGACUUCCUCGAGCUAUAGAAAAACCAAGGCGAGACAGCAGCCGAUGAGCGGCAGAGUUGACAAACAACUCGCACAGCUAGCAAACGAGUGGCCAUUCUUCUGCCAAAAUUCCAGAGAGCCAAUGAUUAAUAUCAACCCCAUGGAAAAACUAGAGGGAGAGAGAAUGCAAAGGAGGUAGAGUGGAUAAAACCGCGGUACCUGUAAUGUAUUUUAAUCUGCACGAGACAGCAGUGUGCGCGAGGGGUGCGAUCCGAUUCGAUUGUGGGAUGGAAGUUGGAGUAGCGGAUACCAUUCUUUGUGACGGCGAUCCCAUAAACAAAACGCGAAAACCGGCUCCGAGAUGAGAGGCGGGUCCGGAUGAGGGGCCGGGACGUUGUCCUCUUCAAACUCCCCCUACAUUCCUGGCCGAGAAGCAGGGCAUCGUUCGUUUUCGUUUUGUGACAACUUGUUCCUUGUUCCUUGCCGCGGCCCGGAAGAAUAAACAAAGGCGGUGAGUGUGUGGAUAUAUCGAUAUCGGAAGAAACAACGAAAGAAAAGAAUGAAAAGGUGACGGGGGGUAUGCGUGGAAAAGAACGUUAAGAAAUUCCAAGCUCCCAUGCAUGUUGUUUGUCUCUGGUUUUUAGGAGCUGGAGCAACAGUCGGAUAACAAAACGCCCCAAUCGCCUUGUUUAUAGAAUGACAAGCCUGAAAGAGAAGCCUGAAAGAGCUUGAAUUGGAAUUGGCCAGACAAAUCCUUCUUUAUCUUUGUUUUUCCCAAGCUUUUAAUCUACAAAAGCAAAUGGUGCUG